UACAGAGGUCCCAAGCGUUGUUCGGAUUCAUUGGGCGUAAAGGGUGCGUAGGCGGCGCCGUAAGUCAGGUGUGAAAUCUCGGGGCUUAACUCCGAAACUGCAUUUGAUACUGCGGUGCUUGAGGACUGGAGAGGAGACUGGAAUUACGGUGUAGCGGUGAAAUGCGUAGAUAUCGUAAGGAAGACCAGUGGCGAAAGGCGGGUCUCUGGACAGUCCUGACGCUGAGACACGAAGGCCAGGGGAGCAAAACGGG
rnacentral:rRNA from 1 species